AGUGAACGCUGGCGGUAGGCCUAACACAUGCAAGUCGAACGGCAGCACAGUAAGAGCUUGCUCUUACGGGUGGCGAGUGGCGGACGGGUGAGGAAUACAUCGGAAUCUACUUUUUCGUGGGGGAUCACGUAGGUAAACUUACGCUAAUACCGCAUCCGACCUACGGGUGAAAGCAGGGGAUCUUCGGACCUUGCGCGAUUGAAUGAGCCGAUGUCGGAUUAGCUAGUUGGCGGGGUAAAGGCCCACCAAGGCGACGAUCCGUAGCUGGUCUGAGAGGAUGAUCAGCCACACUAGAACUGAGACACGGUCCAGACGCCUACGGGAGGCAGCAGUGGGGAAUAUUGGACAAUGGGCGCAAGCCUGAUCCAGCCAUACCGCGUGGGUGAAGAAGGCCUUCGGGUUGUAAAGACCUUUUGUUGGGAAAGAAAAGCAGCAGGUUAAUACCCCGCUGUUCUGACGGUACCCAAAGAAUAAGCACCGGCUAACUUCGUG
rnacentral:rRNA from 1 species